UUACGGCUCAGUAACACGUAGAUAAUCUGCCCUUAGGUCCGAGAUAACCUCGGGAAACUGAGGCUAAACCCGGAUAGGAAAUUGAGGCUGGAAUGCACUUUUUCUGAAAUCUCCGGAGCCUAAGGAUGAGUCUGCGGCUGAUUAGGCAGUUGGCGAGGUAAUGGCUCACCAAACCUAUGAUCAGUAGGGGUCUUGAGAGAGAUAGCCCCGAGAAGGACACUGAGAUAAGGGUCCUAGCCCUACGGGGUGCAGCAGGCGGGAAAACUUUACACUGCACGAAAGUGCGAUAAGGGUAUCCUAAGUGCUUACAUUUCGGUGUAAGCUUUUGCCAAGAGUAAACAUCUUGGCGAAUAAGUGAUGGGCAAGACCGGUGCCAGCCGCCGCGGUAACCCCGGCGUCACAAGUGGGGGCCACAUUUAUUGGGUCUAAAGCAUCCGUAGCUGGCUUUGCAGAUUCUUUGUGAAAUUGUUAAUUUAAACUUAACAGCGCGCAAAGGACACCUGCGAGGCUUGGGACUGGGAGGAGUCAGAGGUAUUCCUGGGGAAGCGGUAAAAUAUACUCGCCUACAGCUCGUAGCUGUAAACGAGUGUUUACAGUGUUAUAAUCCUGGGAGGACCACCGAUGGCGAAGGCAUCUGACUAGAACAGGUCCGACAGUGAGGGAUGAAAGCUAGGGGAUCAAAACGGAUUAGAUAUCGAGAAACUCGUAAGCGAAUUUCUCUGAUUUAUUCUCGCAGCUUUUGAUGCAAACUGCUGUUGCGAAAAACAAACCAGAGAUAAAAAUCGAAUUUGCUCGACUAAAUACCCGAGUAGUCCUAGCUGUAAACCCUGCAAGUUAGGCGUUGCGCAAUUCUAGAGAUUGUGCAGUGUCGUAGUGAAGGCGUUAAACUUGCCACCUGGGAAGUACGGCCGCAAGACUGAAACUUAAAGGAAUUGGCGGGGGAGCACAAUCGAAUU
rnacentral:rRNA from 1 species